rnacentral:rRNA from 1 species
AGCAGCCGCGGUAAUUCCAGCUCCAAUAGCGUAUAUUAAAGUUGUUGCAGUUAAAAAGCUCGUAGUUGAAUUUCGGGAUCAAGGAAUCGGUCAUGCCCCGGUAUGUACUGGUUUUAUUGGUUCUCACCUUCUAAAGAACCAUAAUGUCAUUCAUUUGAUGUUAUGGGGAAUUAGGACUGUUACCUUGAAAAAUUAGAGUGUUUAAAGCAGGCUUACGCUUGAAUACAUUAGCAUGGAAUAAUGAAAUAGGAUAUCAGAUUCUAUUUUGUUGGUUUCUAGGAUCGAUGUAAUGAUUAAUAGGGAUAGUUGGGGGCAUUAGUAUUCAAUUGUCAGAGGUGAAAUUCUUGGAUUUAUUAAAGACUAAACUACUGCGAAAGCAUUUGCCAAGGAUGUUUUCAUUAAUCAAGGACGAAAGUUAGGGGAUCGAAGACGAUCAGAUACCGUCGUAGUCUUAACCAUAAACUAUGCCGACUAGGGAUCGGAUGAUGUUAAUUUUUUAAUGUACUCA